rnacentral:rRNA from 1 species
GAUGAACGCUGGCGGCGUGCCUAAUACAUGCAAGUCGAGCGAAGCGGGGACGGGUGAGUAUAACGUGGAUAACCUCCUUGAAGACUGGGAUAACUUCGGGAAAACGGAACUUAACCGGAUACUUAACGAUGGAUCCGAGCUGCAUUAGCUAGUUGGUAAGGUAACGGCUUACCAAGUCCACGAUCCAUAGCUGACCUGAGAGGGUGAUCGGCCACACUGGGACUGAGACACGGUCCAGACUCCUACGGGAGGCAGCAGUAGGGAAUCUUCCUCAAUGGGCGCAAGCCUGACGGAGCCACGCCGCGUGAGUGAUGAAGGUCUUCGGAUCGUAAAGCACUGUUAUUAGGGAGGCGGUACCUAAUCAAGAAGCCACGGCUAACUACGUGCCAGCAGCCGCGGUAAUAC